ncrna:unclassified sequences Zeta-pan RNA
CAUCCUGAAAGACGGUACUGGCAACAGACCGAAGCGGAAAGGUGAAUAAUG